CAGGCCUUCACUGUGCAGGCCUUAGCCUCAGUAAUGAAGGUCUGUGGCUGUGCUGAUAUUCCUGCUUUGCCUGCUAACCUCUUUGUUCUUGCCUUGCCUGGUGAUUCCUGCUGUGCCCUGCCCUGCCUGUCAUCCUUCUUGUUCCUGCCUUGCCUGGACCAUCUCUCUUCCUCAAAUGCAAGAAUGGGUGAUACCUUUCACUGGACCACUAAAAAGAUUAAACAUUCUUUCUGUUUCUCAAGAUACUUGUAAUUAGUAAAUGUGGCUAUCUGUAUCACAAGAAUCGAAUUACUUCAUUAUGUAUCACUGAAUACUAAUACAGGAAUUAUUGUACAACAGUAUUCCCCGGAAAUGUGACAUGCCUGAAGACAAUAAUCCCAAGCUGUAUUGAAGCCAGGAUCAGCCUUAACAAUGAAAAGAAUAGAGCAAAUCCAUCAGGCAGCAGAUGCUGGGGGCAGGAAAGGCCCUUUUGAGUCCCUUCAUCACUUCUCUUUCCUGGAAGGUGGAGCUGUGUAUGCCAUAUGGCUGAUCCUAUCUAUCCAAACUCUUCUGCUGCCCUCAGGAAGUUGCUAUUCAAUUACCAGUAUUCAUCUGGAUGGGGAAUGAGGGAGACGGAAAUCCCUUCCCUUUGCAUCAAGUAG